UUUAAAAUAAUUCUAGAUAUUUAUGCAUUAAUGAUUACAAUUAUCAUUUUUCUUGUAACUUUUGUUUGCUUUCAACAGCGUAGUAUCACGUAAAGGACGACAUACAUGAGUUGCCGCCCCGUUGCUGUCUGGACAUCAUGAUGAGUUGCGGCCAUAGACGCUUUCUUUUCAACAACUUUUAUCAAGAAUUCCAUGUCUUCCCACUAUUCAUCCUAGAGAGAGAAACAAUAUUACCAGGCUCGAACCCAAGAAGGAAAGGAAUUGGAAUGACCUCUCUCCUAUCCUUAUAACUUUGCUUUAAAUAAUUUCCGACAAUUUCCUUAAUGCUCAGAGUGCUUCUUGUUCUAUUGAGGUGCGGGCACCCUCAUCUUCAACCUCAUCGUCCUAGUGACUGCGCUCAUUGUCUGGGCCAUUCUCUAGCCAAGCAAGCCCAAGUUUGUACUCCAGGACGCUACCAUCUAUCUCUCUUACCGAAGUUCUUUGGUGCUCCUACUGAUCACAACGGCGGAUCUGGGCUGAGGAGUACGACGCUGCAUCACUUUUAGGUGGCUGGGCAAGACUAUCCUUGGCAGUGAUUUGACUCACGGAGGAGCUAAGGACAGGCACCAUACCUCGUGGACGAGGGGCCCUCGAUCGAUGGCAACUGCUAAGCUUAGAGGUUUUGUUCGGUGCCAUGGAGAACCACAGAGAGAGAGACAGCCACGGUUGAAGAGGGAGAGAGAACCAGAGACGAUCUGGUUUUUGAAUUAUCGGCACUAUAUAUAUAGCUUUAAUUGAUCAGAGAUUUCAUGAUUUCAUCUUCCAUCUCCAUUAAAAUCAUGAAAUAGUGCCCGCUUUAAUUGUGCUAGCUAGCUUUAAUAUUUAAGAAACUAUAUUUGUCGUC